UACGAGUGGUGCUAGCGUUAUUCGGAUUUAUUGGGCGUAAAGGGUGCGUAAACGGUGUAAUAAGUCUGUUGUUAAAUUCCUCGGCUCAACCGAGGUCCUGCAAUGGAAACUGUUAUGCUAGAGGAUGGAAGAGAGAAGUGGAAUUCUUGGAGUAGCGGUAAAAUGCGUAGAUCUCAAGAGGAACACCAAUGGCGAAGGCAGCUUCUUGGUCCACUCCUGACGUUGAGGCACGAAAGCGUGGGGAGCAAACAGG
rnacentral:rRNA from 1 species